rnacentral:miRNA from 2 species
UGGAAGGGAGAAUAUCCAGGA